GACGAACGCUGGCGGCGUGCUUAACACAUGCAAGUCGAACGCUGAAGACCUGGCUUUUGUUGGGUUGGAUGAGUGGCGAACGGGUGAGUAACACGUGAGUAACCUGCCCUCUUCUUUGGGAUAACGCCCGGAAACGGGUGCUAAUACUGGAUAUUCACUGAUCUUCGCAUGGGGGUUGGUGGAAAGGUUUGUUCUGGUGGGGGAUGGGCUCGCGGCCUAUCAGCUUGUUGGUGGGGUGAUGGCCUACCAAGGCUUUGACGGGUAGCCGGCCUGAGAGGGUGACCGGUCACAUUGGGACUGAGAUACGGCCCAGACUACUACGGGAGGCAGCAGUGGGGAAUAUUGCACAAUGGGCGAAAGCCUGAUGCAGCGACGCCGCGUGAGGGAUGGAGGCCUUCGGGUUGUAAACCUCUUUCGCUCAUGGUCAAGCCGAAACUGUGGGUUGUGGUGAGGGUAGUGGGUAAAGAAGCGCCGGCUAACUACGUG
rnacentral:rRNA from 1 species